GUAUUCCAAACCCGAUCAUAUUUAGAAGGUAGGCCAUUUUGGAUCCUUACAUGUGAGUUUAUAGCUUGAUUAGGCUAUCUCCUAAUAUUCUACUUGCGUCACAAGUUUAAAGAAAAUUAAGGAUGGCAGAAAAAAGCAGUUCUGCAUCGAAGUCAUUGUUAAAAAAUCAUAUUAUCCAUGCAAACAGCCACAAUAAGAUUGUUGAGGAGUCUGUGAUGUGGAAGCAAUAUGAGAAUAUGAAAAGAGAAGAAAGCGUGUUAAAUUCUCCAGAGACCGGGUAUAAAAGGAAACGCCCAUUCCAGCCCAGCAGACCAAGGGGUUCCUUUAAUGACACUACUACUUUCGAUGGGCGAUGUUCAAAUGAAGUAAAUAAGCCGUCAUUUUAUUGGACACAACAAUUGCAAAAAACAGAGGCUGCCAUGGAGGAUAGGUGGGAUCAUAAUGGUUAUAAGGAAAUGCAUCCGGAAGAAUUUCAGAGUGGAUCAGAGACAGAAAUAAGUCAUAAAAAUAAUAAAAGGAAACACAAAUCAAAGAGAAAGAAACACCGAGUUAGAAACUGUAACAGUGACUCAGAAUGUGACAAGAAAAAAUCCAAAAAAUGUAAAUAUAGUACAAAAUUAAAUGAAAGGACAGAUGAGAAGCCUGAACAAUCUUAUGAGAUAAAACGUCGAAAGGAAGCUAUUCCAGAUAGAUGGGAUCACAGUGGAUACAGGGAAAUGCAUGGAGACGAAUUUCGGAAUAGACCAGACGUAGACAAAAGCUGUGAAAGGAAAAAGCACAAACUUAAGAAAAGGAAACACAAACUGGAGAAAAUGGAGGAUUCUGAUUUUAGUGAACGAGAAUAUGACAAGAAGAAAUCGAAAAAAAGUAAAUCUAGGACGAAAUCACAAGAAAGGAAAUCAGAGAAACGGAAACGUAGAGACAGCAGAAAGCACUAGUGAUUGAGUUAUCGGGAAGAAUUUGUGUUCAUCACGAGUGAUUGCUCCAAAGAAGACAAAGCAAAUAGAAGCAAAUAAGAUCAAAAAGGGAUUGGAAAGGACUAUCAAAGCCACCAUUGAACAUGAAGUAGCUAUGAAAGCCCAGUCCGUGGAACCUAAACACUUCAAACUUGUGAAACCAUCGACAUCCGCACCAACAGCAAAUGUAGAUAAAGGAAGCGGUGUAAAAAAGAAAUAAACGGAAUAUUUACUGUA